rnacentral:rRNA from 1 species
AACGAACGCUGGCGGCAGGCCUAACACAUGCAAGUCGAGCGCCCCAGCAAUGGGGAGCGGCAGACGGGUGAGUAACGCGUGGGUAUCUACCCAUUGGUACGGAAUAGCCCAGGGAAACUUGGAGUAAUACCGUAUAAGCCCGCAAGGGGAAAGAUUCAUCGCCAAUGGAUGAGCCCGCGUUGGAUUAGCUAGUUGGUGGGGUAACGGCCCACCAAGGCGACGAUCCAUAGCUGGUCUGAGAGGAUGAUCAGCCACACUGGGACUGAGACACGGCCCAGACUCCUACGGGAGGCAGCAGUGGGGAAUAUUGGACAAUGGGCGCAAGCCUGAUCCAGCCAUGCCGCGUGAGUGACGAAGGUCUUCGGAUUGUAAAGCUCUUUUGGCGGGGACGAUAAUGACGGUACCCGCAGAAUAAGCCCCGGCUAACUUCGUGCCAGCCGCCGCCGUAAUAC